UACAGAGGUCUCAAGCGUUGUUCGGAUUCAUUGGGCGUAAAGGGUGCGUAGGCGGCGCGGUAAGUCGGGUGUGAAAUCUCGGAGCUUAACUCCGAAACUGCAUUCGAUACUGCCGUGCUUGAGGACUGGAGAGGAGACUGGAAUUUACGGUGUAGCGGUGAAAUGCGUAGAUAUCUGGAGGAACACCGGUGGCGAAGGCGGCAUCCUGGACCGACAUUGACGCUGAACGGCGAAAGCUAGGGAGCAACGGG
rnacentral:rRNA from 1 species